AGGGUGUAAACGCUGCGGGCUUGGUGUUGGGGGUCCUUUGAGGGCGCCCAGUGCCGGAGAGAAGUUGCUAAGCCUGCUGCUUGGGGAGUACGUCCGCAAGGAUGAAACUUAAAGGAAUUGGCGGGGGAGCACCGCAACGGGAGGAGCGUGCGGUUCAAUUGGAUUCAACGCCGGACAACUCACCAGGAGCGACGGUUACAUGAAGGCCAGGCUGAAGACUUUGCCGGAUUAGCUGAGAGGAGGUGCAUGGCGUCAGUGACU
rnacentral:rRNA from 1 species